AGAGGUUGAUCCCGGCUCAGGAUGAACGCAAGCGACAGGCUUACACAUGCAAGUCGAGGGGCAGCACAGGUAGCAAUACCGGGUGGCGACCGGCGCACGGGUGAGUAACGCGUAUGCAACUUGCCUAUCAGAGGGGGAUAACCCGGCGAAAGUCGGACUAAUACCGCAUGAAGCAGGGAUCCCGCAUGGGGAUAUUUGCUAAAGAUUCAUCGCUGANAGAUAGGCAUGCGUUNCAUUAGGCAGUUGGCGGGGUAACGGCCCACCAAACCGACGAUGGAUAGGGGUUCUGAGAGGAAGGUCCCCCACAUUGGUACUGAGACACGGACCAAACUCCUACGGGAGGCAGCAGUGAGGAAUAUUGGUCAAUGGCCGAGAGGCUGAACCAGCCAAGUCGCGUGAGGGAUGAAGGUUCUAUGGAUCGUAAACCUCUUUUAUAAGGGAAUAAAGUGCGGGACGUGUCCCGUUUUGUAUGUACCUUAUGAAUAAGGAUCGGCUAACUCCGUGCCAGCAGCCGCGGUAAUACGGAGGAUCCGAGCGUUAUCCGGAUUUAUUGGGUUUAAAGGGUGCGUAGGCGGCCUUUUAAGUCAGCGGUGAAAGUCUGUGGCUCAACCAUAGAAUUGCCGUUGAAACUGGGGGGCUUGAGUAUGUUUGAGGCAGGCGGAAUGCGUGGUGUAGCGGUGAAAUGCAUAGAUAUCACGCAGAACCCCGAUUGCGAAGGCAGCCUGCCAAGCCAUUACUGACGCUGAUGCACGAAAGCGUGGGGAUCAAACAGGAUUAGAUACCCUGGUAGUCCACGCAGUAAACGAUGAUCACUAGCUGUUUGCGAUACACUGUAAGCGGCACAGCGAAAGUAAUACGUGAUCGACCUGGGGAGUACGCCGGCAACGGUUUAACUCAAAGGGUUAUUCACCCGGGAGAUCUGCUACUACG
rnacentral:rRNA from 1 species